GAGCCGUGAUGUUAGUCACGCCAAAGUGGAUGAAGGGUUCUUCCACAGUAGUCUGAACCAUCGGAUGAGAAAAGGCACUCCUGAGCUU
rfam:Beta vulgaris subsp. vulgaris Bvchr2.sca013.con0169.1, whole genome shotgun sequence.